CAAAAGCUGCCAGCAAUGAACAGCUCUGAAGAUCUCCCUGGGUCCUAUGACUUCAACCUUAUCAUCAUUGGAGGAGGCUCAGGAAGAUUGGCAGCAGCAAAGGAGGCAGUAAAAUAUGGCAAGAAGGUGCUAGUCUAGGAUUUUGUCACUCCAACUACCCUUGGAACUCGAUGGGGUCUUGGAGGAACAUAUGUGAACGUGGGUUGCAUACCUAAAAAACUGAUGCACCAAGCAGCCUUGUUAGGACAAGCCCUGAAAGACUCCCAAAACUAUGGAUGGAAAGUUGAGGACACAGUUAAACAUUACUGGGAGAAAAUGACAGAAUCUGUACAGAAUCACACCGACUCCCUGAGCUGGGGCUACUGAGUAGCUCUUUGGGAGAAAAAAGUUGUAUAUGAGAAUGUUUACGGGAAAUUUAUUAGUCCACGUAGGAUUAAGGCAACAAAUAAUAAAGGCAAAUAAAAAAUUUGUUCAGCAGAACGAUUUCUCAUUGCCACUGGUGAACAGCCAAGGUACCUGGGCAUCCCUGGAGACAGAGUAUGGCAUCAGCAGUGACGAUCUUUUCUCCUUGCCUUACUGCCCGGGUAAGACCCUAGUGUUUGGAGCAUCCUAUGUUGCUUUGGAAUGUGCAGGAUUCCUUGCUGGUAUUGGUUUAGAUGUCACUGUAAUGGUACAGUCCAUUCUCCUUAGAGGAUUUGACCAGGAUAUGGCAAACAAAAUUGGUGAACACGUGGAAGAACAUGGUAUCAAGUUUGUAAGGCAGUUUGUACCAAUUAAAGUUGAGCAAAUUGAAGCAGGGACACCAGGCCGACUUAAGGUAACAGCUCAGUCCACCAGCAGUGAGGAAAUCAUCAAAGGAGAAUUUAAUAUGGUGUUGCUGGCAGUAGGAAGAGAUUCUUGUACAAGAACUAUUGGCUUAGAAACCAUGGGCGUGAGGAUAAAUGAAAAGACUGGAAAAAAUACCUGUGACGGAUGAAGAGCAGACCAUCGUGCCUUACAUUUACGCCAUUGGUGACAUUCUGGAAGGAAAACUGGAGCUGACUCCUAUUGCUAUCCAGGCAGGAAGACUGCUGUCUCAGAGGCUGUAUGCCGGGACAACAUCCUACUUAAGGUAAUAUAAGUUGUGUUUAUGUCUUCUCAGGUUUACCAUAGUUUCUUUUGGCCAUUGGAAUGGACAGUUCCAUCAAGAGAUAACAAAUGUUAUGCAAAAAUUAUCUGUAAUCUUAAAGACGAUGAAUGUGUUGUGGGCUUUCAUGUACUGGGUCCAAAUGCUGGAGAAGUGACACAGGGCUUUGCACUCAUGUGUGGAUUGACUAAACAGCAGCUGGACAGUGCAAUUGGAAUCCACCCAGCCUGUGCAGAGAUAUUCACAACGUUGUCAGUGACCAAGCGCUCUGGGGGAGACAUCCUCCAGUCUGGCUGCUGA